rnacentral:lncRNA from 1 species
GUGACUUUCAAACCAAAAUCUGAAACACUCUGUUCCCAAGAAUUUCAGAUAAGCGAUAGUCAGCUUGUAUGUACAAAUCUAUUGUGAACAUGUGUUUUCAUUCCUCUUAAGUAAAAACUUAAGAACAGAACUGUUGAUUCUUAACAGCAAUACAAGAAAUUUCUAUAUUGUUUUCCAAAAUGGUUUUGUCAUUUUACAUUCACGUUAGCAAUAUUAGAAAGUUCUAACUGGUUCACACCUAAGCUGACAUUUGUUCUUUUAAAACUUUUAACUUUAUCUCACUAAUGAGUGUAUAAUAUGAUCUUGUUAUUGUACUGAUUAAUAGUUUUCAGAUUCUAGUGUUGUACACCUUUCCUUGUGCUCUAUGGGCUAUUUAUCAUCUUCUUGUGUCUACAUUUUAAUUGGAUUGUCUAUUAAUGAGCUGUAAGAGUUCUUUAUAUAUUCUGGUCAUAGGUUAUAUGCAUUAUAAAUAUGAUCUGUUUAAGGGCUACUUUUCAUUUUCUUAACAAUUUCAUUUAAAGUUACAAAUUUUGAUGGAAUAUCAUUCAUCAAUUUCUUUCUUUCACACAUCAUGUUCUUUUGUAUCCUAGGAAAUUCUUGCCUACCCUAAAUUCAUGAACACUUUCCCUUAUAAUUUCUUCUUUUUUUUUUUUUUGAUACCAGGGAUCGAACUCAGGUCUUUGUGCUUGCGCAAAAGGCAGCAAAACCACUGAGCUAAAUCCCUGGCCCUAUAAUUUCUUCUUCAAGUUUUAUACUUUAGCCUUUCACAUUUAGGUUCAUAGAUCCUUUCAUAUUAUUUUUAUGUAUGGAAAUAAAGGGUUGAGGUUAAUAUUUUACAUACAGAUAACAAGUGUUCUAGUGCCAUUUGCUGAAAACACUAUAUUUUCCUCUGCUCUUGAGUUGAAUUUAUGUUCUAUAGAAUGCUAAUGUUAAAUAAUCUUUCAAAACUCAAUGGACCAUAUAUGUGUGGUUCUAUUUCUAGAUUCUCUGUUUUAUUCCAAUGAUCUAUAUCUUUCUGUACACCAACGCUGCCUUGAUUACUGUAGCUUUAGAGGAAGUCUUAAAAUUAGGUAAUACAUGUCUUCCAACACUGUUUUUAUUUUCUUUUUACUUAUCUAGGUCCUUUGUACUCCUACAUAACUCUUAAAUUUCAAUAUCCAAUUCUUCAUUUAUAGCAAGUAUACACAGACCUGAAUUUUUAUAUAUACCUUGUGUUUUCUAAUCCUUCUAAAUUCAAAUACAAGUUCUAGAGAUUUCUUAGUAUUUUCUCUGUAGAUGAUCAUUUCAUCUACAUAUAAAGAUUUUACUUCUACCUUGCCAAUCCUAUGUUACUUGUGUCUUUUUAUUGCCAGACUAUGUUGUUUUGUGUCUAUGUUUCAAAGUUUAAUGGACAGAUGAAGAGUAGGCAUAUCUGCCCUUGUUUCCAACCUUAGGGAGGAAGCAUUGUAUCUUUUCCAUUCAUAUAAGGCAUUUUUGCUGGAAGUAUGGAGUACAUGGGUUAUCUGUUGAGAAGUUUCUGUUCUACUUCUAAUCUCCUGAUGGCUUUUACCAUGAACAGCUGUAGAAUUUAGUCCAAUAGUUUUUAUGCAACUACUGACAAGAUCAUGUGGGUUUUUUCCUUUCCUCUGUUAAAAUGAUGACUUAUGAGUGUGGAUCUUCCAAUGCUGAACCAACACCACCACCCAUAUAAUAAAUCCACUUUCUACAUACUACCAGAUCUGACAUCUAAUAGUUUGUUUUGUUAAACAAAUUUUUAUUUAUGUUCAUACUUUUUUCUUCUACUAUCUUUAUCCAGUUUUAGUAUUAGCACAAUGUUGAUCUCCUAAAAUGAGUGGAGUGUUUCUUCUUUCUUCUGCUUUAAUUGUUUGAUUUAAUUUAUCAGUUAAAAUGUAUAUGACCCUGUGGCUGUCUUACAGGUAGGUUUUCAAGCUAGGAAUAUACUUUCUUUAAUAGGUGCUAUUCAAAUUUUAUAUUUCCUCCAGAGUCAGUUUCCUUAAUUUAUCUUCCAAGGUAAUUCUUAGAAGUUGUCAAAUUUAUUUUAAAAAUGAUUUUUGACUGGCCCUGGGUUUCAAGGCUCUGGGCUGAAUUUAAUUAUCUUUCUUUUCUCCAAGUUAGAGGCCACACUCUCUGUGCUAGGCUGCUUAGAUUCAAGUGAUGAUAGAAACUCCUUCCUUCCUGUCUUCUUCAAUUUUUAUUUUUGUUUAUGCUAAAAGCAGACACUAUGGUCUCUUACCUCAUUUCCUUUAUUUUUGUGCUGAGUGUCUGGUGUGUGUAUAGUUGUUGAACUUGUUGUAUCUGGGGGGACGGCUUGCCUGAAGGUCUCACUCAUAUACCAUCUUGCUCAUCCAUCUAAUUUUACUGAAUAUAAAUUCCCACUUAUUAAAGCAAAACUUGGGAUUUUGAUGUUUUUGCAGAGACAGAUUCUGGUUUUUCAGUUUGUUUUCACUGUCUAUAGUGAAUGGUGGUACACUAUAGAAAGCACACACUAUACUACUUGAUGUUUCACAAAGGCACUCUUUAAUAUAAUUAAAAAUGUGUUUUGUAUCUGUUUAUUUCUCAGGAUCUUCUCAGACCUCCUUUUAUUAGAUAUAUUCUCAUCACUGAGACAAAAAUACUGGAUACCUGUUUUAUCGCUUGUAUCUAGAUGUCCCCCUAAAGCCUCAUGUGGUCAUAGGUGGGGCUUUUCAGAGGUGGCUGGAUCUAGGGUUUGUGAUGUUGGGAUUAAGGGUAUGAUGCCAGGAUUGAUUCAUGGUGUGAUGCUAGGAUUAAGGGUGCCCCACCCGAGAUGUGAGUGCUACCAGCACAUAAGGGACAGAAAAAGGGCUGCUCUUAUUGCUUGCUACUUUGCUGCUUUGCUGUUCUGCCUUCUGCACAUAAUAAACUGUUUUUCUUCUGUGAUGCCCCUAUGAAGGGGUAUAGGUUUAUUUGAUUCACAGAUAGAGAAGGCUGAGCUCAUGACUAGCUGGCUCCAUGGUAGAAAUUGCACCUUUCAAGGGCAUGGCAGUAUAUAGCUGCUCAACUCAUGGAAACCAGAAGCAAAUUAGAGACAGAAGAGCCAAAGCUAGAGAGAGAGCUCCUCCCAAAGGCACAUCACCAGUGACUCACCUCUGAAUAUAUAAUACUUCAGGGAGAUAUUUUAGAUUUGAACUAUUAUCACUACUAUAUAAACUUUUUUCUACUCUUCCUAUCUUAAAUAGUCCAACUACAAGUAAUUUUAAAUACCUCACUCUCCCUUAAUCAUAUCUUCCAUCCAGUCACCUAGUGCAGUCAAUUCUGUGUUCAAAAUAGUUGUCUUCUUUAACUCUCCAUCCCUAUCUAUUUUUAUAUCAUUGUGCUCUGACUUUAGUCAUGUCUCCCCAGCAACAGUGGCCUACACUGCACACUGCAACUUUUCCCUCUGUUCCACAUCUCGCAGAAAGUGGAUGUGUACACUAAAGAGUGUAAUUUAUUUCAGUGACUUCUCAUCAUUCUUAGCAGUGGUGACAUAGCACAUUCUCAUGAGUUAUGAGGUCUAGAGAUGCCUUGAUGAUCCUUAAUAUUGAAGUCAGAACCAAUGUGGAAGGGCAUUGGCCACCCUGCCCUUCCUAACCGUGUGUAAAAGUGCACAAAAUAGCUCCAGACAAUAACAAGUAUGGUCAUGCAUCUUUUGGAUUUUUUUUCUUUAUCUUCAAAAAACCCCCACAUCCUUUCAGUACUUUAAAUUUUGCUAGAAAAAAAGCUACUUUUUACUCCUUUAUUUUCCUAGACUUACACCUGAAAUUUUCUAGCAAUUUUUAUAUUUUCUUAUUUUCAAUGUACUAUAUGCAUUCUCUUUCUUUUUUCCCCUCUUAAAUUCUUUUAUUGCUACAUUUUUGGUAUACAACACAUCUACAUUCAUCAUUGGAAACUUGUACCUUUACAUAAUAUAUCUUGGUUCUUAUUGUUUUCCCAUUUCCCUCCUCUCCCUUCAACCCCUCCACCCCUCCAUAUUUGCAAAGACUUUGUUUCCAUUUUUUCUUUUCUCAUAUUUUUUCCUUUCCUUUCAUUCCUUUCCCCUACCCCUGUUUAUAAAAUGGAGUACUACUUGGCCACAAAGAAUGAGAAAUUAGAGACAUUUGUAGCUAAAUGGAUGCACAUUGAGCACAUACUCUUAAGUGAAAUAGGACACACGUGUAAAUACUGAAUAGUUUCUCUAGUGUGAGAAACUGAAAGUGUAAAUAAUGAUUAAAAUGAAUAAUUGAUAAUGCAUUCUCUUUUUUACCUUAAUAUUUUUUAGAAUUUACCCAUUUUGUUGGUCUUUCAAACAUUUAAUUGUUAAUAUUAAUUCAAUAUUUUUCUUUUAUUUUUUUCCUUUUUUUCAUUCUCAGCUCAUUUAAAAAUGUUAUUUUGGUCCUUGUGGUUUUCUCAGGAUUCAAUUUCUUUCUUGUCUAUUUUAUUUACAUUUCUUCCUUUCUUUUCCUUCUUUUCUUGUCAUUUUUCUCUCACUUUAAAUAAUUACAGCCUUCAUGCCUAUUGAUUUUGUUCAUACCUUUAGUUAUAUAAUGAGAGUUUUAGUAUAAACUAUUCUACUUUAAUUAUAUUGUGUGUACAUUGAGUGGAAAUUUCAGAGUUGUGUUAUUUUUAUCUUGGGAUAUUUAGAAAACAUAUGAAUUAAGUAUUAAGCCUUUAUAUUCAUUUUAUAUCUAGGUUCUUUGGUUACAAUCCUAGAAUACAGUACAUACAUAUAUAGCUACUUUUUUAGACUUUUGCCUUUGAAUUCUUUGCCUCUCUGCUUCCCUUGUAGUCUUUACUAUUUUCUCUAUCUAUCUUUGACCUAGUAAAUAAAUUAUUGCUCUUUCAUACAAGAGUUGAACUUAUUUAGGGUGAUUAGAUAACUGACCAUUUCUCAAUUUUGUUACUGUAUGAUUUUUAGGAAAUACAUCAGUGAGCUUAAUUUUUCUAUAUUUUUAACUCACCUUGGUUUUUAAAAAUGAUGAUGAAAUACUACUAGUUUAUGAAUGCUGGAGACUGUUUAGCAUUCCAGUGGUCAUUUCUUUGAAUUUAUAAGCAGAAGUAUGUUUUCUUUUCUUUUUUCUCCACCUCUCCCUUUAUUGUGAGCUAUAAUGAAGGUAGCAUCCACAGCACUACAUACUGUUUUAUCAGUUAGCAUCCUUUGUUACAAAUGAAUUGAUUGGAAAGAUAUGCGAUAGCUUAUGGAAUCUGAGAACAGUGAGCAAACCAGUAUAAAUAAUGAGCAUAAGCUAGAGCACAUUUUACAGACAAGAAACAAUUGGUUAAAUUGCUGCCUCCAUCACAGGAUAUUGAAACACUGCUUUCCCUGAUAAACUAUUGACUCCUGACCACUAUGACUAACACUGAGCGACACUCUUACAAGUUUAUAUUGUCAAGAGUGGUAAAGCCUAGUUUAUGAUUCUAUAUCCCAGAAACCUGGAGAGAGGUUUAGAAAUGAUUUGUCUUUCCGGCUACAAUUGAACAUACACAGUGAUGAUGUAUUAUAAAUAAAGAAGGUUGUUCGGAUACUCAAUGAACUCAAAAGAAUAUAUUUUAUUACUUUUAAACACUUUUCCCUGCAUACACACGUUUUUUAAAAAGUACUUAUAGUAAAUGAUGUACACACUAUAAAAUAAGAUUGUCACUGUUAUGUGGGAUUAUAAUUUCUCAAUGUUACUCAUUGAAAUGAGCAUACAAUAAAAAGCAUUUAUUGCACUUGAAGGUAAAAAAAGUACUUAUAUAUGUUUGCCCUUAUUCUUUUGCUUUCAAAAAGAGAAAAGCUCCUGUCUAAAAUGCAACAUUUCUUCCUACACUGCAAAGUGUGCAUGACAUUGGGCGUGGCAUUACAUGCCUAAUGGGAGCCAAUUCAAAUUUUCUUUUUACAUUUCCAUGUAUAGAAUCUCUGAGUUAUGUACAAAUUCCAGUUAGUUCAAGUUUGGUGAAUUAUUGAUAUUUUUCAACUUAUGUAUUAAAUUGCAAAGUUAAUCAUUUCUAACACUUUCUAUAUACAGUACUAGAUGAGAAAAAUAGCAAUACAAGUAAUCUAUCAUUUUAUAUACACAUCUAUCUUUUUUUCCUUUUACAGAUGUGUCCUCUCUUUUAUUUUAUAACCAUUGAGUCCAAAGAACAUGUGAUCAUAGAAAAAAGGCUUUUCAAAAUUAAGAGAUCAUUAAGUUUAACAAGAUGUAGUGAUGUCUUAUUUUAUGAAUUUGAGUAGUCCACUUGGGGGAAAUAAAGUUCUCCAUGUAAGUUGCAGUUUCAAAGUAUAUGUCACAUGUCAGUAGUUCAAAUUAUAACUAAUUUUUAUCAGCCUAUAACCUUUCCCUUUUAGUAUUAAGGGACUGUAAAGGAAGAAAGCAAUACUGGGUAGAAUAUCACAGAAUUUAUUUUCCCAAGAGGUAAUGGCAUAUACAAAUUCACAAUAAGAUCAUCAAAUCUAAAUCCAGAGUAAUUGUACAUUCCAAUAAAAAAAAGGAACUAACACUGUUGUUUCGACAGGGUCAAUUAUAAUGCAUUUUACAACAAUUUAGCUGGGCUCAAAAUAUAGUGGCUUGUAGAUAAUUAGAGCUACUAGCAAGACAGGCUCAUAUUACUGGCUGUAGCAAGUCAUGGGAAUUCGUGAUACUGAUACUAUUAAUUGCUUCCAUUUCCUUUACCUUAGAUCUCUUUUAUUGAGUCAAUUGAGUAAUCAUUCGACUUAUAGGUUUGGACUUUUAUAACUGAGCAGUUGUCUGCAUGUUGCCAAGAAUGUGUCAUGUUUCUGCCUCAUUAAGAAUAAUUUUUAUCAGGGCUUUCAGUAAACACAUGAAAAAGAGUUCAUGAUUUAAAAUUAACAGUACAGUAUCUGUGCAAUCUCACAAUAAGUUUAAAUGAUUUAUUGAAAAUUAUAAAAUUAAUUAUUAGGUAGACUAAAAAGAGAUAAUAAAUAUCUUUUCUACAGGAAAAAGUUACAUGAAAACCAAAAUAUAUAAAUGGUCUAAUGAAUGAUUCAAUUAAAAAUCAUAAAGUCAAUAAAACAAAAGUAAGGGCCAGGGAUUUAGCUCAGUGGUUCCACCACCUGCCUCACAAGUGUAAGAUCCCAAGUUCGAUCCCUGGUACCAAACAAAACAAAACAAAAAAACACAAAAACUUUCAGCCCAGGGAUUUAUCUCACUGGUUCUGGCACCUGCAUCGCAAGCGCAGAUUCCCGAGUUCAAUCCCCGGUACCAAAAACAAAACAAAACAAAAAAAGGUAAAAUGAAGAAACAAAUAUAAUGAAGUCUAAACGAUCAUUAAAAAAAUCUUGUUUCUGGAUGUGGUGGCACAUCCCAGCACUCAAGAUGCUGAGGCAGGAGGAUCUCUGUGAGUUGGAAGCCAGCCUGGGCUACAUAGUGAGUGUAAGGCCAGCCUGAACUACACAGAGAGACCCUGUCUCAAAGUAAAUAAAUAAAUAAACCUAUUAAUGGAUGGAAAAUAAAGCCAAGAGAUCAUAGUUUACAUCAAAAUGAAUUUAUUUCAGUUAUGCUUAUCCCAUUGUAUAUGUAGAUUCACAUUAGGAGCUUUAUAUAACAACAUAUAAAUAGCUCAAAAAGAGAAAUUAUGUUAUUCCCAUAGAUUUAUACAAUUUUACAUAUAUUUCUAAUCAUAAUCUUUGGCCUCUUAAUCAAAUGAUAGUGAUAUAUACAUCAUUAACAUAAUAAAAUCAUAGUUGGCAAAAACCACAAUCCAGUGAGUUGAGAAACAAGAGGCAUUCCCACUGUACUCAACAACUAGAUUGGAAGUUUCUUACUGCUUUCUUUAAUUCUGUUGUUUAUGUCCUGUCUUAGGAACUUUCCUCUUUGCUGAAACAUAGUAACAGAUGGCUUGGAGCUUAGAGGAAGAGAGGUCUAUUUUGCUCAGUUCUCAGUUCCUAGUAGGCAGCAGGACAGCAUGGUAGAGGAGAGCUGCUCUAAUCAAGGGAUCCAGGAAACAGAAAGUCGAGGGAAAGAAGGUGACAGGGAGAGAAUCUUUUCCAAGCCAUGCCCCCAGUGACCUGCCUGUUCCUACCAGACAGGACCUUCUGACAGCAAGCCAGCUAUGAGCCUCAUCAUGAUCCAAUCACCUUCUAAAAGCCCGGCCUAUGUGUGUAUGAGGAUAUCUAGAUAUAAACCUUAACAUGUACAAGUCAUUGAAAUUAGGUAGGAGAAAAAAGUGAAAAAAGAGUAUUUUCUGCAGAUGUGACACAGUGAAAAGUAUUAUUAAUGACAGAUUACAUAAUUCAAUACCUUCAAAACCUAAACUGUAUGAUUGAAACAACAAACAUUUUAAAAGUAGUGGGAUAUAGCCAGGGAUGUAGCUCAGCAGCACAGCACCUGCCUACAAACAUGAGGUCCUGAGUUCGAUUCCCGGUACAAAAAUAAAAGAGGUUAAAAAAAGAGUGGGAUAUAUAACUAAAGUAAAGCAAAUAAAAAAUUUUUCUUAUCUACAAACUGUUAUUAGUUAAUCUAUACAUUAGGAGAAAUAUCCCUUUUUACAAAAGGCAUUACAAAAGAAAAUACCAAGAAAUAAAGCAAACAAACCAUUAAGCCUAUCUGCUUAAUAUUUAAAACCCAACUGAAGAAAAACAAAAGCACUUGAGCACAUAGUAAUAAAAAAAAAGUGUUACUUUUUUUGGAGGGGAUUCUAAAAAAAUCUGUUAAUCUUGAGAUUCAAAACUGUCAUUGUGAAAGUACAAAAGGAUUUUAAAGCUCAUAUGUAAACUUAAUAUGCAUAAUUAUGCAAAGAAAGAAUGAUAGUUGGUCUCGCUUCACAUAACAUUAAAUGUUACUAUAUUUGAUAUAGAUGUUCAUUGUCAUUUGAAUAACAUCUGAAGUAGGUGAAAGUGAAGCUUUAUGAGUAUAUGGGGAAGAGGGCAGGCCAAGAAGAAUAGAGAGAAAGGCAAAUUUAAAGGUCCUGAGCCCUACAAAAGAUUGUGCCUGGCAUAUCUGAGAAGCAGGAAAUAUCAUUUUAGGCUUAGACUGGAGUGCAAAGAGGAUAUGAGGAGAUGAGAAUAAAAAUAGAGAUGAAAAGUGAAGUUAUAAUUCAUACGGACCUAAUAAAUCAAUAAAAUAUUUGACUUCUCACUGAGAUGGGGAGUGACUAUAGGGCCUUGAACAGAGACAUGACACAAUUUGCCUGAAAUAUUGACAACUUCACCUUGGCUGAUGUGUUUAAGAAUAAAUUGAAGAUGGACAGGAUGGAGGUAUGCAGCCAACCUGAGAAGCUGUGAAAAAGUCCUGGUAAGAGAUGAUAUCACGAAUAAGAGUUUUGUCAACACAGAAAGGAGACAUAUUUUAACUUUGAGUAUAUUUUCUAAUUAGACUCAGUUGGAUGUGCUGAUAAUCUAACACAGAGUAUGCAUCAAAGAAAACAAGGACAAGUUUGGAGAAACUGGAAAGUGGAAUUGACAGUUAUUUAGAUGAUGAAACUGAAGUAAUCCUGAAAGAAGAGGUUUUGCUUGUUUGAGAAGUAAAGUUAUGAAAUUUAGCAAUAUUAGAAGAAUUAAAGACAUAUUACAGGAAUGCAUGCAUACACAUGUUUAUUGUUUAUAGCAGCAAAAACUCAUGUUUGUAGUAGCACAUUUAUAAUAGCUAAAUCUUGGAAGUAGCCUCUAUGGUGAUCAAUAGAUGAGUGGAUAAAGAAAAUGUGGUAUUUAUACACAUUGGAGUACUACUUUGCUAUAAACGAGGAUAAAUUGGAGUAGUUUGUAGGAAACAGAUACAUCUUGAGACCAUAAUGGUAAAUGAAAUAAAUCAAAUACAUAAGCUUAAAUAUCAAAUGGCUUCUCUUUUAUGAGAAACUCAAAGUAUUAAAAAAGAGCAAAAUGAAAGAGAGAUGAUAGGAAACAGGGAGAUUAUUUUGCAAAUGAGACAGGAACAAAUAGAUUGAGGGAGAACUGAGGGAGAAGAGAAGAAUGGGAUAUAAAAAGAAUUAAGAUGUGUUAUGUACGUGUACAACCACCCACAGUAAAUGUAAUCAUUGUGUGCUGUAAACAUGCAGUAAUAAAAAUAAGAAAGGAGAGCAUUUUGUCCCAUGGUGGCAUCCUUUGAAUUCAGAACAAACAUUGAUAUCAGUGAAUAUUUCAUAUAGUGCAGGAGUGUUUUGUGAGAUUAUCAAAUACUUGGGAAAGGAGUGCAAAUGCAUUAGUAAACUCCAUAUGUAAAAUUUUCCUUGAUAUCUUUCAGUGUCUCUGUACUUAAUUCAGUAAGAUGUGUAAUAUCUACUAUAAAUAUAAAAAUUCUAAUUACACCAUUCUUUAUCUUUUAAAUUAGUUAAAAUUUUAUUUAUGAACUAAAAUUGAUUCCUUUUAAAAUGUGGGCUUUCAAAAAGGGAAAAGGAACAUGAAGACCAUAACAGUAUGAGAAUAAAAAUUAUUGGAGUAAGAAAUAGAGUGAAAUGAGUGAAUAACAUUGAGAUCUCCCUUGAAAAAAUGAUGAUAGACUGAAAGCAGCAUUGCUCUAGGUUUCUCUACAGCUAUGCUCAGAUCAGGUGCAUGGGUGCAGCCACAUAGACAUGGAAGGCUGUACAGAGUUGUAGUUUAGGUGAGGACAAAAGAACAAAAAAGGAAAAUUGGAGAUGUUCGCUAGUAUAGCCACUAUCAAAAACAGUAUGGAGAUUUCCUAGAAAACCAAAAAUAGAACUAUGAGAUACACCUAUCCUGCUUCUAGGUAAGUAUCUGAAGGAAAUAAAAUCAACAUACAAAAGAGAUAUUUGCAUACCCAUGUAUAUUUUGACAGUAUUCAUAACUAACAUAUGAAAGCCAUAAAGAAGAAAUCUUACCACUUUCAGGAAAAUAGAUGGAACUGGAGGAUAUCAUAUUAAGUGAAAUAAAUCAGACACACAAAAUCUAUUAUCACAUAUUCUUUUUAUGUGAAAAAAUAUGACCUAAAAGUAACAGAGACCUUACUAGGGACUAGAAAGGGUAAUGAGUUUAGAUGGACAUGGUAAAUACACAAUGUAUGCAUGCAUAGAAAUAUUACAAUGAAUUCCAAUAAUUUGUAUAAUUAAUGUAUGCUAAUAGUUACAAUUUGUAAAAGAUAUCUUUCAAGAAUAGAUUAAAAUGCUUCAUCAAGUAACUUCAAACUUUAUGAAGAAAUUCAAUAUAUAAAGACGUACACUGGAAGGAGCUUAGUGAUAUCAGUAGAUUGUUGGCUACAUGUACUCUUAGGAUUGUGAUAGGAAAGGUAUCUUAAUGAUUAAGUUUGUAAAAUAGGAGGCCAAAUUCAGAGAGUGAGAUUAAGUUGAACUUAUAAAAUUAAUUGUUGAUGAUUGGUGAUUGGUGAUGAUAAUGUCAAGUGUGUAACCAUGAGAAUGAAUGCCUAGGGUAAAGUGAAAGUCAAGUAAACUGGAGAAGAUCAAAAUCUGGAGAUUAGCAUGCUGGGAGAGUAAUUUGUGUAUACGGAAAUUGUCAGGAACUCUGUAUUAGUUUUAUCUAAUACACUACACUACACUACCAGCACUACAAAUAUUUGUGGCUAAAAUCAGUAUGCACUUUUUGUUUAACAAUUUUGUAAAUUAGCAUUUUGGAAAGGCAUGACUAAAUUUUCUUUCAGGAUCUCAUGAAGCCUAAAUCAAAGUUUUGAGGAUGGGCUUUUGGCUGGAGGUCCUAAGGAAGAAUCCACUUCUAUAGUCCUUCAUGCUGUUGGCAGAUUUAAUGUGCUCACACAGGGACUAAAUCCCAUUUCCUUUCUCUGUAUUCAGCUGAUAGGUUUUCCUGGUUCUGGUCAUUGCACAUGGACUCCUUCAUCAUAGAUGCCAGGAAAAAUUGGCAGAAACUAUUGAAUGUCUUUCAUGCCUCAAUCUCUCUGGCUUCCUCUUUGCCAUCCUUUUCUGCUUUUCAAACCUCAAGUGAUUUUUUUUUCCUCAGUGAUUUUAUUGGACCCAUUUGGCUUAUCCAGGAUGAUUUUCUUGUCUUAUUCUUAAAAUUAAUUGUUAACUACUUUAAUUACUUGGCAAAUUUUCUUCUCUCUUAUUCCCUGAAGCCAACAGUCUGAUUGACGUAUAAGGAAGCAUACAGUGCAGGGGUAUGCAUGUGGGGUCUUUUUGAUGGCUAUAAUUCUGCCUAUUGAAAUUAUUACAGAAUAUGUUUUACAGAAAGGAAUUCAAUAAUUAACAAAUGAGGAGAAAAAAACAAAAUUGUUAAUUGACUACAAUGAAGUUAGAUGGGGAUAGUAGUGACAUAAAAUUCAAAGUCAGAGUAGGAGGAUUAAAAAGGAUCUAGAAGGAUCUAGAAGCUGGCCAGAAUAAGCAAAGGGAAGCUAUGCUAUAUCCAUGCCCAGCUUUUUGUAAGACAAAACAAUCACCAGAGAAGGCCACCAAGGAUUUAAAGUCAUCAGGGAAUUUCAAGUUUCAGUUAAGGCAGGAAGAUUUAGGAAAUAUCUUCUAGAGCAGUUGAGGAGAAAGAGAAUUUGUCUCUACUAUAGUUCCAAAGGUCUCUGUGAAAAGCAUUCCAGGAAGAUGGCUGGGAAAGGGGUCACAAACUGUGAGGAAAGAUCAGUAUGGUAUCUAGAUGUUCCCUCAAAGCCUCAUGUGCUCAUAAGUAGGACUUUUUGGAAGUAGCUGGAUCUAUGGUGUGUGAACUGGGAUUAAGGGUGUAUGACAACUAAAUUGGUUUAGCAUAGUUCUGGGUGUGCAUAGUGGAAGCCCCCACCCAGAGUGUGGGUGGCACCAAUCAAUAGGCUUGUAGCACGAAUGGAAUAUAAAGGGACAGAGAGAGAGAGCAGGCUUAUGGCUUGCUGCUUGCUUUCUCCUGCCUGCUCUGCCAUGGACUGCUUCUCCUCUGUAAUAUACCUCUGCCAUGCUACCUUGGCUUGGACCCAGCAGACUAUGGACUGAAGCCUCUAGAAAUGGACAGCAUGGAAAUCGAAGAACAUCUUGGGAAUGUGACUAUUUCCAAUCACACAGUCUGUCAUCCUGGACAUUCAACCAGCUCAGAACAUGUAGCCCUCUUGCAGGGCGGGAUCACUGAUGGACAAUUGGAGAGAAAGAAAAGCAGAGGUCUUGGAUUCCUGGGCUCGAAGAAUCCUCUUGUCUCAACUUUCUGAAUAGCUGGCACUACAGGUAAAUACCAACACUUCUGGCUACAAAGUAACUCUUUAUAGGACAUCAAUGGACUCAUUAAAGUUUCCUUAAAGACAUAUUAAAAAUUUUAAAACUUUAUCAGCCAGAAGCCCUUUAGCGACAAGUGACAGGAACCUAAAUCCAAAUAGCUUCAGCCAGAGAAAACAAUACCAAAAGAAAAACUGAUUCACUUCUCUAUCAAGGAAGUCUAAAGGUCAUGUUUUCAUUAGUUGAAAAUAAGAAAUAACAAUGUUUUAAGGCUAUUGUAUCAUACCAUAGUUUGGUUCUGCUUCUGAUUGUGUAGCUACCUUCAUUAUUUUAUUUGUGUGUGUGUGUGUGUGUGUGUGUGUGUGUUACAAAGAUAUUUGUCAAAUCCUCAGAGUUACUGCUCUAUUCCUUUCUUCUCCCUCUUCUCUGCCAUGCCUCCAUGCUAUUCUGUCCUGUGUUGGAGACAUUUGGAUAUGGACUGAAAUAUCUACAAACUGUGAGCCAAAAGAAAUGUUUGGUAUUUUGAUCCAGCAAUGAGGAAAGUAAAAAAGACAUCAUCUCAUUUAGAAUGCCCCAGAGAAGACAUCAUCAGAAUGUGCAGUACGACAUGGAUAAAUAGUCUAUGGAGUCUCUUGAGCACCAAUUUAAAGAAGAUUUACCGACUUUUGUUGGCAAGAAAACUUCGAAUCUCAAGAUCAUUUGAUAUAAUUCAGUCUUGACCAUAGACUUCAGUCAACCAAAGAAUAAUUGCUAAAGCCCUCCAAAGGUAGCAGCAGAAGAAAAUAUAUUGAAUCCAGGGUCUUUGAGAAGAUAAUCCUAUUGACAAAAUCAGACAUUCAAUACACAGAAUUACUAAAGUGAGACCAAAACACUGAAUGCAGUAUUAUCCAGAGUUUACAAUACACUUGACAACUGGGUUGCUAGAACUGUGUUGCUGUCAUUGCUGCUAUUGGAACAUCUGCCUGGAUGUCUGGAGCCUACAGUCCAACUGAAGUUCUGGGAUUGCUGCUGAUGCUGCCUGACCUGCAGUCCUCUGCAACUGACCCAUCAUCUAGUAUGAUAUUAAAUCUUUCAUCCACCUUACAGACUUUCACUAUUUCUGCUCUUCACUUUCUUCUCACUGUGCCCCCCCUUUUUUUAACAUGACCAUAGAAUCCUUGGGUCUUCUUUCUUAUUUUCCCAAUAAUUUCAUUACUUAUGCUUUAAUUAGAAAAAAGGAAAAACUAUCAUGCUUUUCAUUAGAAUUACUUAUUAUUUUAUUUCAAAAUAUACAUUUAAAGAAGUUAGUCAAAAUUUACUGGAGGAAAUGGUGUCUUAAACUAAAAGUGUAAAUAAGGAUCAAAAUGUAUAAUUGAUAUUGUGAAAUAGCAAGAAAAGGUCUAAAAGGAGUAGGGGAAG